UACGUAGGGGGCAAGCGUUAUCCGGAUUUACUGGGCGUAAAGGGAGCGUAGACGGCUUGGCAAGCCAGAUGUGAAAGGCUGGGGCUCAACCCCAGGACUGCAUUUGGAACUGUCAUGCUAGAGUGUCGGAGAGGCAGGCGGAAUUCCUAGUGUAGCGGUGAAAUGCGUAGAUAUUAGGAGGAACACCAGUGGCGAAGGCGGCUUACUGGACUGUAACUGACGUUGAGGCUCGAAGGCGUGGGGAGCAAACAGG
rnacentral:rRNA from 1 species